CAGCAGCGCGUAUACGUAGGUGCGAGGCUGUCGAUAUCGCGUAAGAGCUCGUAGCCGCUGUCGCGUCGAUGUGAAAGGCCAGGCUAACCCGGGUCUGCGUCGAUCCGGCAGGCUAGAGUCGGCAAGGAGAUUGGAAUUCCUGCUGUAACCGGUGAAUGCGCAGAUAAUCAGGAGGAACACCGCGGCGAAGGCGGAUCUCUGGCCCGAUACUGACGCUGAGGAGCGAAAGCGUGGGAGCGAACCAGGAUUAGAUACCCUGGUAGUCACGCGUAAACGUUGGGCACUAAGGUGUGGGCGGCAUUCACGUUGUCCGUGCCGCAGCUAACGCAUUAAGUGCCCCGCCUUGGGAGUACGGCCGCAAGGCUAAAACUCAAAGGAAUUGACGGGGGCCCGCACCAGCGGCGGAGCAUGUGGCUUAAUUUGACGCAACGCGAAGAACCUUACCAAGGCUUGACAUUCACCGGAAAGCCGGAGAGAUAAGGCCCCCCUUGUGGUCGGUGUACCGGUGGUGCAAGGCCGUUGUCAGCUCGUGUCGUGAGAUGUUGGGUUAAGUCCCGCAACGAGCGCAACCCUUGUCCUGUGUUGCCAGCA
rnacentral:rRNA from 1 species